rnacentral:rRNA from 1 species
UGCAGUCGACGGCAGCGCGGGGCAACCUGGCGGCGAGUGGCGAACGGGUGAGUAAUAUAUCGGAACGUGCCCUGGAGUGGGGGAUAACGCAGCGAAAGUUGCGCUAAUACCGCAUACGAUCUAAGGAUGAAAGCGGGGGAUUCGCAAGAACCUCGUGCUCCUGGAGCGGCCGAUAUCUGAUUAGCUAGUUGGUGGGGUAAAGGCCUACCAAGGCAUCGAUCAGUAGCUGGUCUGAGAGGACGACCAGCCACACUGGAACUGAGACACGGUCCAGACUCCUACGGGAGGCAGCAGUGGGGAAUUUUGGACAAUGGGCGAAAGCCUGAUCCAGCAAUGCCGCGUGAGUGAAGAAGGCCUUCGGGUUGUAAAGCUCUUUUGUCAGGGAAGAAACGGUGAAGGCUAAUAUCCUUUGCUAAUGACGGUACCUGAAGAAUAAGCACCGGCUAACUACGUGCCAGCAGCCGCGGUAAUACGUAGGGUGCAAGCGUUAAUCGGAAUUACUGGGCGUAAAGCGUGCGCAGGCGGUUUUGUAAGUCUGUCGUGAAAUCCCCGGGCUCAACCUGGGAAUUGCGAUGGAGACUGCAAGGCUAGAAUCUGGCAGAGGGGGGUAGAAUUCCACGUGUAGCAGUGAAAUGCGUAGAGAUGUGGAGGAACACCGAUGGCGAAGGCAGCCCCCUGGGUCAAGAUUGACGCUCAUGCACGAAAGCGUGGGGAGCAAACAGGAUUAGAUACCCUGGUAGUCCACGCCCUAAACGAUGUCUACUAGUUGUCGGGUUUUAAUUAACUUGGUAACGCAGCUAACGCGUGAAGUAGACCGCCNGGGGAGUACGGUCGCAAGAUUAAAACUCAAAGGAAUUGACGGGGACCCGCACAAGCGGNGGAUGAUGUGGAUUNNUUCGAUGCNACGCGAAAAANCNUUACCUACCC